rnacentral:rRNA from 1 species
GAUGAACGCUGGCGGCGUGCUUAACACAUGCCAGUCGAACGGAAAGGCCGAAGCUUGCUUCGGUACUCGAGUGGCGAACGGGUGAGUAACACGUGGGUGAUCUGCCCUGUACUUCGGGAUAAGCUUGGGAAACUGGGUCUAAUACCGGAUAUGACAAUCUCUUGGAUGGGGUUGUGGAAAGCUUUUGCGGUAUGGGAUGAGCUCGCGGCCUAUCAGCUUGUUGGUGGGGUAAUGGCCUACCAAGGCGUCGACGGGUAGCCGGCCUGGGAGGGUGUACGGCCACAUUGGGACUGAGAUACGGCCCAGACUCCUACGGGAGGUAGCAGUGGGGAAUCUUGCACAAUGGGCGCAAGCCUGAUGCAGCGACGCCGCGUGGGGGAUGACGGCCUUCGGGUUGUAAACUCCUUUCGCAACCGACGAAGCUUUUGUGACGGUAGGUUGAGAAGAAGCACCGGCUAACUACGUG